CUAAGACAUUUUUCCUUUUCAUAUUUGAACAUUUCUGAAAUCAAGGUAUAUCUUCAAGUGAUGCCCCUUCAUAAAUACUUAGCAGUACUUUCUCAAGUCUGUAUGAAAGCACUGUGGGUCCUACACGUCAAAGACAAGCUUUCUAGUCCGCAAACUGCAGUGGCUCUCAUUGGCCCAAGCGCAUCACGUGUCUCUCACCCGCCAAUCACUGCAACUCUGGUUGGGAAGCCAUAGGCUCAUCUCUGGUGUUAACUAGUUGGAGUCAGCAUCACCUAAGCAAAAGGAGCGACAGAGGAAUGGCAGUUUCUGAGAGGAAAAUCAAAGUGUCACUGCCCCCCGGAGAGAUGGCUGUGGAUUCCCGGCAGGCAGAAACAACUGCUGCCUCCUCUGCUCAGAGUCAUUCCGGAAUUCGGAAAUUCUGGCCACCUGCAGUGUGCAAAGGCAGCUGGCCAGGCAAGGAAGCUGGCGCCAGGUCCCAGGGCCCCUCCCUGGAGGGAGCAAAGGCCUCUCGGGUUGCAGCUGCAGAAAGAGGGAGGAGAGAAGAGGGACAGGAUGGAGUGGAGAGCCUUGGAGGCAGUGGUUUGGACAUCAACUCGGUGAGUCAUGCCCCGGGCAGCUUUUUACAGGAGUUGCAAAUUCCAGUAACAGCAGAUCAGGGACACCUCUCGAGGGAGUCCUAACUAAUCGAAGGUGCCUCUUGCUCCCUCUUGGCAGAUCCGAGUCCACAUCUGAAUAGCUUAUCUUCAAAACCAGAUCCUGAAGCCGUCCCUUGCUUGGGUCCCUGGGCUUCCGGAAACCAGGAGGUUAUUCUGCCCCAAAGUUAGUUGGAGAUGUUGGGUGAUAGAUGCUGCAUCUGAGUCUGGCCCCUCAAC
rnacentral:lncRNA from 1 species